GACGAACGCUGGCGGCGUGCUUAACACAUGCAAGUCGAACGAAGUGGCGAACGGGUGAGUAACGCGUAAUCAACCUGCCCUUAAGAGGGGGACAACAGGUGGAAACGACUGCUAAUACCGCAUACAUAAGGUGGGGAUUGCGUAUGAUUAGCUAGUUGGAGGGGUAACGGCCCACCAAGGCGAUGAGCAGGAGCCGGUCUGAGAGGGUGAACGGCCACAUUGGGACUGAGACACGGCCCAGACUCCUACGGGAGGCAGCAGUGGGGAAUCUUCCGCAAUGGGCGAAAGUCUGACGGAGCAACGCCGCGUGAGUGAUGACGGCCUUCGGGUUGUAAAGCUCUGUUAAUCGGGACGCGGUACCGGAAUAGAAAGCCACGGCUAACUACGUGCCAGCCGCCGCGGUAAUAC
rnacentral:rRNA from 1 species